GAGGUAGCAGCAGGUGGCCCUCUGACAUAGCAGAGGUGGUGCUUGCUCUCUCUCUGUCUCUGAGCAGAGGAUGUCCAGGGCAGACCCGGGAAAGAAUUCCGAGCCCAGUGAGAGCAAGAUGAGCCUGGAGCUGAGGCCAACAGCCCCCAGCGACCUGGGCCGCAGCAAUGAAGCCUUUCAGGUGCCUCUCCCACCGGUGCACAGUUAUUGGUUGUUGGAGGAUGAAUGGGGACGCUUAGGAGGGAAUUCAGGAUACUUCUGGAACAUUCAGGGCUGAGGAGAACAGCCCUUCAGCACAGCAAGAGGAAGACGGCAGUCUGAAUCCAGGAGGAACUUGAACUGUGAUAGCCCUCGGGUGGACAGGGGACCAGGGCAAGGACAUUUUAAAGAAGACUCCGGCCUUGUGUGACAAAAGCUGGAUUUAGGGACAUAGGAAACAUUGAAACUCAGGCGUGUAGGGAGUAAAUCUAAGACAAGGAAGCAGAGCAAAGAAAAGGUUGGCUUCUUCGGUGAGGAAAGGUGCCUACCUGUGAAUUCUUGGCCCCAGGAUAAGAAGAAUUAAUAACAGCGCAAAUAUUGAAAAUAUUGAAGGUGCACAGGAGGAAGACUGAUGAAGACCUUGAACGGCAGAACACUCCAGGAAACAGCACAGUCAGGAACAGAGUUGUACAAAGCGGGGAACAAGGACACGCCAAACAGGUAGGGCAGGUGUGGAGGAUGAUCAAGGACCUGUUACCAUGGAGAAAACUGCACUGCCUGUGAGUGUGGUUAGUGUGUCUAGGGCAGAGCCAGAAAGAAAACACGCGCACCCUAACAAUGAGACUUCACUUUUGCAGACCAGCCACAGACUUCCCCAAAAAGGGAAGCCAUCUCAAGGCAAAAGGCCUAGGCAAGCAUGGACCCUCAGCUUUGUAGCCCCAGUUACUAAGAGGCAGAGACAGGAGUCAGGUCUAGCCUGGUGUGAGACUUCCUGUCAAAUACAAAAAGCACCGGUAUGCUAAGGGAGGGAGGCAAGAGAGGCAAGAGAGGUGCCUCUCCCUUGGUUCCAUCGAACCUAAAUCCUUAGCUUGCACAGGUCUUGGGGGCUUUUGAUGGUGGUGGUGGAGAGUUUUGUUUUUUUUUUAAUUGUUUGUUUGGAAGGAACAGGGUCUCAUGUGACCCAAGUUCACAUCAUAUUCAAUAUGCGGCAGAGGAUGGCCUCGAACUCCUGAUGCCCUGGCUUCAGCAUCCCAAGUGGUGGGAUUACAGACGUGGACCACCAUGUCUGGCAAGGAGCUCCAUGCUGCUUCAUUUGUAUCCUAGAUUUAGGCGGAAUUCCUUCCACUGCUGGAAAAAACAAAGCAAGUAAUUGCUCAUGUGGAUCAUCCUCUUGAAAAGCAGUCCUAAAGAGUACCUAAAACUAGGAAAAUUAUUGCAGCAAAAACCGGAAGAUGAAAGUUGGGGUGAAGUAGGAGAAAUUUGCUAUACCUUGGAGCAUGGCCCGUGUUUAUGCAGACACAGUCUCGUGCUAUCCAUGUUGGAUUACACUGUUCAUCUUGCUUUACUGUUUAUCUCAUUUGAUAUAUUGUGCAGUGUUUGUGCAACGGGUGUCCUCUGGCAACCAAACUAGUCCACAUGAAAACCGUGCCUACGGUGGCUUUUAUUCAUAAUCAGAAAACUCUGGAAGCAUCUGAGAUACCCACCCGUAAAACUGAAAAAAAAAAACCACAAUCAGACCAGAUAGGGCAAUAUUUUUCAGAGCUAGAAAGAAGCAAACAACAAGGUCAUAAACAGGACUCAAGGAACCACACGUGCAUAUUAUGGAGUGAAAGAAUCCAGUUUAUGAUGGGGGCAACCCUGUACCAUGCCAGUAGCAUCAUCCUGAGGAGAAAAAGGCAAAACCUUAGAGAGAUGAAGAGAUAGUGGUUUCCAGGGCUCAGAGAGGAAGUUGGGGUGAGCAUCGGGACUCUCAGGGCGCUGUAAGCACUCUGAACAACACUAUGGAGGUGAAGAUCCAAACAUAGAUUUGAGCACACUAGAAAACGCCCGGCUACAACAGUGAACACUUUGAAGAAGUCAAUAGACUACCAAGGUGCCUGACAUCCAAGUCUCUGUGAUUGUGUAUAUAGACCUGUUGAUGUGCAAUUUUGUUACAUUCCUGAUUAAGACUGUAAAACAUUAGUGCUCAGUCAAAAAGCCACGUAAGGGCCAACUAUGAAGGACACUCAAUGCCCACUGAGGUGGGGAUGGCUUUCACUGGCUCUCCUGUCAAUCAGCAAGACACCAGCAUCAUGAGUGCUCCCUGGGGGUUAUCAGCAGAACUCGCUUUAACGAAAUAAGUAUCGACGGUGCAGAGAACACACUGAGGAAAACCUGAGCCAAAGACGACUCAAAAGGAAGAGUGUCAGCGGGGAAAGGGUUAUGCAAUACCUUAGAUGAUGUAUUCUGUUUCCCCUUCUGACCAUGCACGAGAGCAAUUAAAAAAUAAUCUAUGC
rnacentral:lncRNA from 1 species